CUUGAUGCAGAGACAUGGCUUGCCCAGGGUGACUCCUGGGCUGGGGCCGCCAGGGGAGCUGGCUCUCUCCGCCCCGACUACCAGCAGCUUUCGGCCUGGAGAGGCUGGGCCCAUGGGAGCAGCUCUUUCCUUCAGGCUGGGCACAGGCCUGGGUGCGGGGUCCAGGGCCUGAGAGCCCAGGACGGAGCCAGGGCCUCUCCUUUUUCUCUGGUUGUGGAUCUGGGAGCCAAACAGCUCCCCCCUCGACCUCCCGAAUCCCCUGGCAGCUUCCCAGUCACGGCAGGUUCCGCUGCCAGAGCCAUUUAUAACUCCCAUUCCAGGCUCUGCUCGGCAGUGAAGCUCCCUGGAGAGCUGGGGGAGGGGCAGCCCACUGCUGGGAGCUGUGGCGUGGGGUAUGAGGCCCUGACCUGAGCCCCCCGAGGAGGUAGGGACAGGCAGACAGGCCUAGCUGGAAUGGGGGCUUGGGGCCUUCUUUGGGCCAUCUCCCUGAGCAAUCCCCUUCCUUCCUGGGUGACCUUAGCUGUGGGUCUGGGAUCUGUUCCUUGGGUGGUGAAAAUGUGAAAGCUGGGGACUGGUGAGAGGGGGACCCGGAAGUCAGGAGCUUGGGUUCCCUGCCUCUGCAGGGACCUCCCAGAGCCGAGUCCUCCAUGAGCAGGCAGGAGAAGGACGCAGAACUGGAUCGGAGGAUAGUUGCCCUGCGCAAGAAGAACCAGGCCUUGCUCCGCAGGUACCAGGAGAUCCAGGAGGACCGUCGGCAGGCAGAGCAGGGGGGCAUGGCUGUGACCACACCAGCACUCCUCCGGCCCGAUGGCCUCACCGUUACCAUCAGCCAGGUUCCCGGUGUAAGCCUCACCCUGGGAGACAGGGCUCGUAGCAAGGAGGUGGAGGCCCAGACCAUGUCGGGGGAAGACAGCUGCCUCUGUUCCCCUCUCCCACUAACUAUUCUGGGGUGCACCUGCCAGCUCCCAACCUCCUGCAGUCGGACCACUGCUGUCCCCACCAAAGAGCCACAGCUGAAAGCCCCCCUACCCCCAGUAGACACAUCCUCAUACCCUUUUCCAGUCCACAGCCCUGCGCCUAUGCCACAAAGCACAGGCCACUCCUAAACCUCAAGCCCCAGGGGCUAAAACCCUGCAGGAAGUGGGGGACAGAGAAGUUGGGGCUGAAUGCCAGGAGCAGUGUCUGAGGGACAGAGACCCAUUGUCUGAGUGCUCUGGGUUUCCCAGCUCAGAGAUGACGGGCCACUGUGGCAUCUUGGGCUGCUGGGUGGCCCUGGGCCCUGGAUAACCUCAUGCCAUUGGCAUGUGAACACCCUGUGGGAGUCAGCUCUUCUGUGGGGAAUGCAGGGAGGGCUGGGGUUGGAACCCAGGCCUGGGGAACCACCGAGAGGACCCAGCACCCAGGUGCUGCCCAGCACUGCCCAUGUGGCCUGAGGGUCUUUGUUCUGCAGGAAAAGCGGGUGGUUAGCAGGAACUGGGCAAGGGGUACCUGUGGACCCGGAGUGAUGAACGAGAUGGUUGAGGAUGAGGAUGCUGAGGACCACGGGGGUACUUUCUGCUUAGGGGAGCUGGUGGAGCUGGCUGUGACCAUGGAGAACAAAGCAGAGGCCAAACGGAUUGUAAGUGAAAAGCCCACCAGAGCAAGGAACCAAGGCACAGAGGGGUCACCUGGAGGGCGUAUGACCCGGAGCCCCCCGACACAGGUGGCCAUCAGCUCGGAUUCUGCAUGGAAGGGUGCUUGGGAGCCCCGGAGGAGCCGGCCGAUGGGGGAGCCCCCAGAGGCGGGCUGGGACUACGCCCAGUGGAAGCAGGAGCGGGAGCAGAUCGACCUAGCCCGCCUCGCCCGGCACAGAGACGCACAGGGUGACUGGCGCCGCCCGUGGGACCUGGACAAGGCCAAGCCCACGCUACAGGACUGCAGCCAGCUGAGGGGAGAAGGCCCGGCCAGGGCAGGCAGCAGAAGGGGUGAGCCCACACCUACCUCAUCCCUCCCCUCCUUGGCUUUGUUCAUCUUUAACCCCCUUGUCCUCUCUUUUCUCUGUCUCUUAGUCUCUUACUUAUUUUCAGAGCUGAAAGGAAGCGUUGGAGAACAUCUUCCUUCCUCUCCCUCACUAUCAGAGGAGGGCACCAAGACCUCCCAUCCUCCCCUCUGAGCCCACAGCUCUUGUCCAGGUUUCGAGCAGAAGGCCCCAGAAGGAGGCUCAGUGGAAGCCUGCCCGGGGUCUCUUCGAGGUGCUGGUCCCUAAUGGGUGAAAGUCCUGGUGGUCCUUCCCCAGACCUACUGUAGAAACAGCUCUGUGGAGUUCUGGUCCCCUUGUUUUAUAUAUAAAGAAGCUGUGGCCUGAGAGUUGGGGCCAGACACCUAGCCACGGAGUGGCAAAGCUAGCACAGGACCCGAUUCUUCUGACCCCCAGGCAAGGGUGCUUUUGGGGAGGCAAAACCCACGACUGGCCCCAAGGACUGACAGCUUCCUGAGGCUGGAAGAACUGGUGUUCCUGUUUUGGAACCUUUGUCACCCCACCUUUCCCCACUUCUUUUGCCCCCCGCAGGUCCCAGGAGCCACCGGAAACUACAGCCCCCACCAUUGCUCCCUGAUGGAAAAGGUGAGUUGGGGAGGAGGAGGGGCUGGGUCUCGUCAGCUAAACAUGGAGCUGGCUGCUAUGGGCCUCUUCUCUCCUUGGCCAUCUCUUGCAGGUCGGGGCGGGCAAGCCAGCAGACCCUCGGUGGCACCAGCCACAGGCAGCAAAGCCCGGGGCAAGGAGAGGCUGACUGGCAGGGCCCGAAGGUAACAGGUGGCAGG
rnacentral:sRNA from 1 species